rnacentral:tRNA from 1 species
GCGUGUUUGGCCGAGAGGUAAAUUUUCACCCCCUGGAUUAAUUCGGCCUACGAGCCGUCGAGAUUCAUAUGUACUAACUCUACUAUAGGUUAAGGCGCUGUGUUUAGGCCGCAGUGGGAAACCGCGCAGGUUCGAAUCCUGCAGCACGCA